GGCGGUGGUCGCUCAGUGGUUAAGGUGUUGGACUACUGAUCGGAAGGUCAUGAGUUUAAAUCCCGGCGGUGCCA